CCUACGGGUGGCAGCAGUGAGGAAUAUUGGUCAAUGGACGAGAGUCUGAACCAGCCAAGUAGCGUGAAGGAUGACUGCCCUAUGGGUUGUAAACUUCUUUUAUAAAGGAAUAAAACGAGGCACGUGUGCCUUUUUGCAUGUACUUUAUGAAUAAGGAUCGGCUAACUCCGUGCCAGCAGCCGCGGUAAUACGGAGGAUCCGAGCGUUAUCCGGAUUUAUUGGGUUUAAAGGGAGCGUAGAUGGGUUGUUAAGUCAGUUGUGAAAGUUUGCGGCUCAACCGUAAAAUUGCAAUUGAUACUGGCAGUCUAGAGUACAGGUGAGGUAGGCGGAAUGCGUGGUGUAGCGGUGAAAUGCUUAGAUAUCACGAAGAACCCCGAUUGCGAAGGCAGCUUACUAAACUGUGACUGACAUUGAUGCUCGAAAGUGUGGGUAUCAAACAGGAUUAGAUACCCCUGUAGUC
rnacentral:rRNA from 1 species